AUAUUCCCAUGCAUAUUCUAUCCAUUCGAGACCGUGAAUCCCAUAUAAAGAAACGUUCUCAGUCUGAAAGCACAGGGAUCAAACACGUUAACGUUGUUCCUGACUCCUCCCAGAUCAAACUCUCCAUCUGGUGGGAUACAUAUGCCACUGAAGAACAGGGGAAGAUUGAAGAUGUCGGAUCAUUCACGGGGGAAUGAAAUUAGCUAAGCAACCGACACCAGGUUGACGCAGUUUUUUGUGUCUUCCAAAGCUGUUAAAAGGAGACAAGCGGAAGAAUUGCAAGAAGACUCCUGCCUUCCCAGCUUUAGCCGGAACGCCGCUGUCAACAUUCACUUCGGGUUCUUGAGAUAUGGUAGUUAAGAGUCAAUUCCCUCAAUAAUGGCCCAACAUUACUCUCAGAAUUAUUGGGGUUGCAAAAGUAAGGAACUUUCAGGUGUGGAAAUGACCCUCAUCUAUUUCAACUCUGGCAUGAAUGAUUCGGUGAAUAAGAUUUGUAUGGUCAUGGUUUGGCCUUUUCCCCUUUCUUUAGUCAAAGAGGCUUCGUAAGUGAUGGUUUACUGGCCAUUUGAUGUUCCCAAGUAUGUCGCUGCUUUGAUCAAUCCUAGUACAACUUCAAUCAUCUCUCUGUUUUUUUCUGGUCUAGGAGCAGCCUUUACUCGAUCAUAUGCAUCGAGUAGGACAAAUUAGAUGCUCUUCAUGAAUACAGUCUCACGCAUUUGAAA